rfam:Lupinus angustifolius cultivar Tanjil chromosome LG20, whole genome shotgun sequence.
GUCUGUAGGUGGCUUUUUAAGUUCGUCGUCAAAUCGUAGGGCUCAACCCUGGACAGGCGAUGAAAACUAUCAAGCUGGAGUAGGGUAGGGGAAGAGAGAAUUUCCGAUGGAGCGGUGAAAUGCGUAGAGAUCGGAAAGAACACCAACGACGAAAGCACUCUGUUGGGCUGACACUGGCACUAAGAGAC